UUUUGGGUGACGAGCGGCGGACGGGUGAGUAAUGUCUGGGAAACUGCCUGAUGGAGGGGGAUAACUACUGGAAACGGUAGCUAAUACCGCAUAACGUCGCAAGACCAAAGAGGGGGACCUUCGGGCCUCUUGCCAUCAGAUGUGCCCAGAUGGGAUUAGCUAGUAGGUGGGGUAAUGGCUCACCUAGGCGACGAUCCCUAGCUGGUCUGAGAGGAUGACCAGCCACACUGGAACUGAGACACGGUCCAGACUCCUACGGGAGGCAGCAGUGGGGAAUAUUGCACAAUGGGCGCAAGCCUGAUGCAGCCAUGCCGCGUGUAUGAAGAAGGCCUUCGGGUUGUAAAGUACUUUCAGCGAGGAGGAAGGCAUUGUGGUUAAUAACCACAGUGAUUGACGUUACUCGCAGAAGAAGCACCGGCUAAAAUGGUUCAA
rnacentral:rRNA from 1 species